UCCCUGGUGCUCCAGUGGUUAAGACUCUGCACUUCUACUGCAGAGGGUGCAGGUUCGAUCCUUGGUCUGGGAA
rfam:Ovis aries breed Texel chromosome 11, whole genome shotgun sequence.